CUCGUCACUGUCCUCGGGCACGUGGCUGGCGGUCGAGGUCUUUUGCGUCCGGUCCAAGUUUUGCGCUCAUGGAGACGCCAGUACCGGCGACGUGUGGGUCACCAAGCGUUAACAUUGCGUGUGCACUUUGGUUUGUAGGCCCACUUUUUUCCAUCUCAUUCCUUUCUUCGGACGUGCACCCCCAGGUAUGGUGGCUGUAGAAUAUUAUACUUCAGCUUAAACAACAACAGAAAGAAAUAACGGUUGCUUUAUUCAGCGAGCACCAUGCUAAUGCCGAGUGCACCGACUAACAACCAUAACUGUGCCAGGCUAUAGCAGACGACGCUCGGAUGCUUGGCGCGGAGGUCGAUGGCAGUGCUGCUGUGGCGGGAACGGCAGCGGGCUGCAUGGUGCGCAUAGGCGAGGAGUUGGGGUACUUAAAGAGGAUCUAUAACGUUGUUGCGCCGGUCGGCCGAUGUGAUGCUGAUCGUUUGAUCAUAUUUUCGCGGUGCUUAGAGAACAUGUGCUCCUUUUUUGUGUCAAUUAGCGAUCACUAAGCCCUGGGGCCUGUGCAACGCUAUUAGCUCGCUGUAUGUUUCUUGCGGUGCGCUGUUGUUGAUUAUCGUACUGCGGUCAAUUCGCGCUUCUUUGUCCGCGGCUCAUGAGAAGCUGUAUUGUACUCUCGCCGCUCCCGCAUCGGGUCACAGUGCACGGAAGAAUGUGUUGAUAGUUGUGCUAUCGCGUGCUGUAGUUCACCGCAAUUCAACACUACGCUGGACGGACUGUUGGUACAGUCGAUGCAACGUGAACGGACACGCAGGAGCGCUCGCCUCGGAAGGGAUGUCACAAUUUCCUGAGACGGAGGCAUCUCUGCACCACAUAGGAGGCUGCGGCACUAUGCAGCUUGAACAGCACGACAAAGCAUCUGAUCUGCUCCUUUGACAAGGUGUGGCUGGGCCUGCAGAAAGAGUGUAAGCAGGCUACUGUGUUGCUCAUCAGUGCUGAUCUCUACGUCUGAGUUGGCCCCACAACAUCCAGGCACCACUGUGCUUUGCUUCGUGGUCAAGCUGUUUUAAUGCAGGUGUGGCUGGGCCUGCAGAAAAGCUGUAAGCAGACUGCAGUGUUGCUGAUCAGUGCUGAUCUCCACGUCCGAGCUGGUCCCACAACAUCCAGGCACCACUGUGCUUUCACAAGUUUUGUGCAGAUGCAUACGAGCACUGUGGAUACAGAGGCAAGGAGGCUGAAGGACCUGAACAAGCACCUCGCCACCAUGCUUCGGGAUGCAAAAUAAAGAUGGUUUGUGUUAAUUGUGGGCCCUAAAA